CUGGAGCGAGAAGAUCUCAUGCUGUGACUCUACAAAGGGAAGCCCUUUCUGUUGUCUAAAAGAAAAGAAAGCGCUUCCCUUUGGUGGGUUACGGUUUGA
ensembl:miRNA